UACGCUCUGAGCUUCGCUGGUGUCGCUCCUAGCGGUUACUAAUUCAACUUUUACCGGUAAUUUUUAAAUUUAUUAUUUAAUUGUUAUCGCUUAAUAUUUACAACGCAAAAAAGUAAUUAAAUUGUAAUCGAUUUUUUUAAGAUUUUUCUAAUCAUUUUGACGUUCUAUUGAUAAAAUAUCAAUUUCUUACUUCGGAUACUUUGACAAUAAUCGUGUAGAUGGCGCUAAGAGUAUAAUAGAUUAUUUAUAAUUAGAUAUUACGGAACAUUAAAAAAACUUAAAUUCAGUAUUUAAAACGUAAGUAUAUUUAAGGUAAAAAUAUAUACCACAGCUUUGACCAACUAAUAUUGUUUAUAAUUAAUGUUUUUAAUUUUAAUUUUAAAUUAAUCACUUUGACAUUUAUGUCAAAUUUCCAGUAAACGUUUACAAACUUGUCACUACUGGCGUUCGCGAAUUUGUAAAUAUCCCCUCUACGUACGAGCUCACAGC